rnacentral:rRNA from 1 species
CAAUACCGUGAGGUGGAGCGAAUCNCAAAACCCGGUCUCAGUUCAGAUUGCAGGCUGCAACUCGCCUGCAUGAAGUUGGAAUUGCUAGUAAUCGCGAAUCAGAAUGUCGCGGUGAAUACGUUCCCGGGCCUUGUACACACCGCCCGUCACACCAUGAGAGUUUGUAACACCCAAAGCCGGUGGGGUAACCUUUUGGAGCCAGCCGUCUAAGGUGGGACAGAUGAUUGGGGUGAAGUCGUAACAAGGUAGC